UGGGGAAUAUUGCACAAUGGGCGCAAGCCUGAUGCAGCCAUGCCGCGUGUGUGAAGAAGGCCUUCGGGUUGUAAAGCACUUUCAGCGAGGAGGAAGGUGGUGAGCUUAAUACGCUCAUCAAUUGACGUUACUCGCAGAAGAAGCACCGGCUAACUCCGUGCCAGCAGCCGCGGUAAUACGGAGGGUGCAAGCGUUAAUCGGAAUUACUGGGCGUAAAGCGCACGCAGGCGGUUUGUUAAGUCAGAUGUGAAAUCCCCGGGCUCAACCUGGGAACUGCAUUUGAAACUGGCAAGCUAGAGUCUCGUAGAGGGGGUAGAAUUCCAGGUGUAGCGGUGAAAUGCGUAGAGAUCUGGAGGAAUACCGGUGGCGAAGGCGGCCCCCUGGACGAAGACUGACGCUCAGGUGCGAAAGCGUGGGGAGCAAAACAGGAUUAGAUACCCUGGUAGUCACGCUGUAAACGAUGUCGAUUUUGGAGGUUGUGCCCUUGAGGCGUGGCUUCCGGAGCUAACGCGUUAAAUCGACCGCCUGGGGAG
rnacentral:rRNA from 1 species